AGUGAACGCUGGCGGUAGGCCUAACACAUGCAAGUCGAACGGCAGCACAGUAAGAGCUUGCUCUUACGGGUGGCGAGUGGCGGACGGGUGAGGAAUACAUCGGAAUCUACUUUUUCGUGGGGGAUAACGUAGGGAAACUUACGCUAAUACCGCAUACGACCUACGGGUGAAAGCAGGGGAUCUUCGGACCUUGCGCGAUUGAAUGAGCCGAUGUCGGAUUAGCUAGUUGGCGGGGUAAAGGCCCACCAAGGCGACGAUCCGUAGCUGGUCUGAGAGGAUGAUCAGCCACACUGGAACUGAUACACGGUCCAGACUCCUACGGGAGGCAGCAGUGGGGAAUAUUGGACAAUGGGCGCAAGCCUGAUCCAGCCAUACCGCGUGGGUGAAGAAGGCCUUCGGGUUGUAAAGCCCUUUUGUUGGGAAAGAAAAGCAGCAGGUUAAUACCCCGCUGUUCUGACGGUACCCAAAGAAUAAGCACCGGCUAACUUCGU
rnacentral:rRNA from 1 species